rnacentral:lncRNA from 1 species
AAGGAGAGCAAUCUCUUGGAAGAUUUCCUAGUAAGGAGUAGAACUAGAGUGUAUCACUUGCAAGUUGCAAAUGACACCAUCUAUUCCUUUCAAGAGCUAACAUGGAAGAUUUGCAAAAACUUAAGCUAAUCUUGAUGAUUUUGUGGGUGCAUUUAAGGGCUUAAGAUCAAUUUAGAUGAGAUUACUUUAGUUGGUAUUAACAUGAAUCAAGAUUAGAAUAUUAGAUUGGUUUCAAUGCUCAAAUGUAAGGUUUCUGAGUGGCCCUUAACCAAAGGCUAGUGCUUUUUAGGAUCUAGUGGUCAAUAGAAUGUCAUAGAGAUUGGAUGGUUGGAAAAAAAAUUUUAUUUUUAGUUGGAAGAAUAAUUCUAAUCUAGUCUUGCUUGUCUCACAUUCCUAGUAACUUCCUCUCUUUGCUUAAGAUUCCAUCAGUAGUGGCGACAAUGAUUAAGAAAAUGCAAAGGAAUUUUCUUUAAUCAGGGGUAGGAGAGGGAAAGAGAGAUCAUCUCAUUAGUUGGGACCUAGUGUGCAAAAGUCUAAGGGGGAAGGGGGUUUGAGGUUUUCUAAUGUAAGUGUUGCUUUUUGGCAUAAGGUGAUAUUGAGUAUCUAUGUGAUUCACCCUAAUGGUUGUCAUGCUAACAUGUUAAGAAUAUAGCCCUUUUUGGGAAGUGGCUUUCAAAGGGGAAGAGGGCCUCAACAACUACAACUUUUAGGAGCAUUCCUCUCAAUGUAAUUUGGCUCAAUUGGAAUUUAGUGUGUGAAUCAAAAGAGUCAAAAAAGCAAAGUGUGGAGCAAAGCUCCAAACUUCCAGUCUCUUUUUGUAGAUGUAUUGAUCCCUAUAGAGAGUAGAAUUAGUUUUCUUUGUAUAGUUUCAGUUUCAUGCGGUGUUAUAUUGAGGUAUAGAUUUUUUUUGUAUUUUGGAGAAAACUUAUUCAUUGGUCCUAUUUGAUCAAAGUUUGUAUAUUUGGGAAGGAUUCUUCAUCUUUCACAUGUACUUUUUAAAUUCUUAACUAAAUACUUUGUUCUUGAAAAAAGAAAAAGUCAAAGAUAUAUGAGAAUAACCAAAGUUUUUGUUGCCUAAAGAUUUUAGAUCUAGAAGGAUGUUAGAAACAUCUCCAUGGAUAAAAUCAUGAAUUGAGACCAAAACUUACAUAUACAAAAUCAACAAAAUAUAAAACAAAGUAGAAUAUAAAUAUGAAGCUAAACGAAUUUUUUAAAAUGGAGAAAUUAAAAUAAAAAUGAAAAAAAAAAAGAAGGGAAAAAAGAAGAAGGUAAGAGAGAAAAAAAAAGAAAAAAGAAAAAAGAAAAAGAAGAAACUAUUGGAGUGCAUGAUAUACAUUGUGGGGCCCAAAUAUUACAAUCUUAAGUUUUUAGGAAAAUUGAUUAUCUAAUAUAGUAUCAAAACCUCGUUUGAUGGGAAGUUGUCUUCAAACCUCUUAGCAUGUUUAUUUUCUCACUAUAUUAUACCCAUGUGUUAGCCCAAAAAGAGGCUACCCUUGAGGGAGGGUGUUGGAGUGCAUGAUAUACAUUGUGGGUCUACAAGCUUAAGCUUUUUGGAAAAUUGGUUAUGCAACAGAACAAUGAUCAUAUAAUAAAACAAUCUUGAAGAGACAUCAUACAUGAAAUAGUUUUUGACAAAAACAAAUAGAAAAAGGAAUCUAAAAGCGUUUGCUUGAGCUGACAAGUUACAAACUAGAAAUAUCUUCAUGAUAUAUUUGACUGAAAAUGAAGAGGAUGACUAGCAUUUUCUUUUUUGUCAAAGGGCAAAUAAUUUAUUGAUAUGAAUUUUUAAAUGUAAGCAUAGGAUGAGGAAUCCUUCCAAAAAUUUAGAAGAAAGGAUGAUAAGAAAAAUGGGUAAACUGCAUAAGUGGCAACAUAGCUUUCAAGGAUGAAACAAGAACAUGUAUAAGAUAGAGAAACAAUGCACAACACAAUGUGGUACAAAUUCCCUUACAAAAGAAACCUUUACCUAGCUUCUCAGUUAGCUAAUUGACCUGCUACACGAUUAGUUAAGCACAGAGACCACAACCCGAGUUACUAGCUACAUCCAAAAUUUGGUGAAGCUGCUUGGCGUACUUAAAAGAAAACACUCUCUGACUUUAGCAUCCAUGAGAUCACAAUAGUAGAAUCCCAUGCCACCCAUAAAUUGGGUAGAUACAAAACCGUAGCCUGCAAUAGUCCUUCAUUAGAGUUAAAAUCUGUCUCAGUGGCCAAGCCCGUUCCUGCUGGUUUCGAGAAGGCUCUCAACACUAUAACAUGGUGAUCCCUAAUCACACCUCUAAUUCCCAACUGACUUGGGUUGGCAAAAGCAUGCGAACCAAGUUUAAGUUAAUCGAACCCACUAGAUGCGGAAUCCAAACAAGAAAUCACUCACUGCCUAUCCUCUUUGAUUGACAAAUCAAGUUCCAAUCAAGCUAUAGAAUGCUCUAAGGAGUAACAUAAAAAUCUAUGGAGAUAGAGGCCCAGAGAGAGAGAGAGAAAUUAUCAAGUGCCAAAUAGAUUCCCAAGUUCCUCCAUCCAGCGCAAAAAUCCUUGAAUUCCUCUCCUUCCAAACUGCUCAUAACAAAGUGGAUGACUCAAUCUUUUAGGUAUGUAGAGAUAUUAGAUCUAGAAGGACAUUGUGAUUUCUUUUAGUUUGAAACAGAGCACUUGGUGAAGGGAUGCCUGAACUUGGAGAAGCCAAUCCUUAAAAAUUAUAUUCUGGUUAGGUCUGUGUUAGUCUGCUAAUUAGAUAUCCUAACAGAAGAAUCUUGAAGAAGCAUCAUGUUUCAAAUAGUUUUUGGGAAGAAAGAAAAGAAAAGGGGAAAACAAAGGGAUUCAGAAAGAUUUUUCUUGAGUUGAGGUAGAAAAUGGAAACGUCUUCAGAUACUGAUGAUAAAUAAAUUGCCACAGAAAUAAAUAGAUCUGGAAGGAUGUUUUUGUUGGUUUCAGUUUGAAACUGAGUAGUGCAGCGAAGGGAG